rnacentral:rRNA from 1 species
GACGAACGCUGGCGGCGUGCCUAAUACAUGCAAGUCGAACGCAUUUUCUUUCACCGUAGCUUGCUACACCGAAAGAAACUGAGUGGCGAACGGGUGAGUAACACGUGGGUAACCUGCCCAUCAGCGGGGGAUAACACUUGGAAACAGGUGCUAAUACCGCAUAAUUCCAUUUACCGCAUGGUAGAUGGGUGAAAGGCGCUUUUGCGUCACUGAUGGAUGGACCCGCGGUGCAUUAGCUAGUUGGUGGGGUAACGGCCUACCAAGGCUGCGAUGCAUAGCCGACCUGAGAGGGUGAUCGGCCACACUGGGACUGAGACACGGCCCAGACUCCUACGGGAGGCAGCAGUAGGGAAUCUUCGGCAAUGGACGCAAGUCUGACCGAGCAACGCCGCGUGAGUGAAGAAGGUUUUCGGAUCGUAAAACUCUGUUGUUAGAGAAGAACAAGGAUGAGAGUGGAAAGUUCAUCCCUUGACGGUAUCUAACCAGAAAGCCACGGCUAACUACGUG